rnacentral:tRNA from 7 species
CGGGAUAGCUCAGCUGGUAAAGCAAAGGACUGAAAAUCCUCGUGUC